AGUGAACGCUGGCGGCAGGCCUAACACAUGCAAGUCGAACGGCAGCACAGAGGAGCUUGCUCCUUGGGCGGCGAGUGGCGGACGGGUGAGGAAUACAUCGGAAUCUGCCUAUUUGUGGGGGAUAACGUAGGGAAACUUACGCUAAUACCGCAUACGACCUACGGGUGAAAGCCGGGGACCUUCGGGCCUGGCGCAGAUAGAUGAGCCGAUGUCGGAUUAGCUAGUUGGCGGGGUAAAGGCCCACCAAGGCGACGAUCCGUAGCUGGUCUGAGAGGAUGAUCAGCCACACUGGAACUGAGACACGGGCCAGACUCCUACGGGAGGCAGCAGUGGGGAAUAUUGGACAAUGGGCGCAAGCCUGAUCCAGCCAUGCCGCGUGGGUGAAGAAGGCCUUCGGGUUGUAAAGCCCUUUUGUUGGGAAAGAAAAGCAGCCGGUUAAUACCCGGUUGUUCUGACGGUACCCAAAGAAUAAGCACCGGCUAACUUCGUGCCAGCAGCCGCAGUAAUAC
rnacentral:rRNA from 1 species